CUGAGGGAAACUUCCAGCUGGGCAGCAGCUCCCCUCCUCAUCCAGCUCAGGUCCCAUGUGAAGAACACCACACAUGUGAGGACCUGCCCACGUGCAAACCACCAGAAAAUACACAAGUCACCCAAGUCCCAGAGAUGCCGGCAAUGCUCCCGGAAGAUGAACCUGCUGAGCCUCAGGACUUGACAGAGACAGAAUACAGCUAUAAUUUCAUGGCAACCCCAAACCCCAGCAGUGACUGCUCGGACUCAGAGCAGUCCCAUAUGAAAAUAAAUUUCCCGGAGAGCCUCGUAGGGGGUGAUCUCCCUGAUUCCCACACCUUCCACAAAGAGACCAAAACCACCCUCAAAGGUAACGUGUGUCACCAGGAGACAACAACCUUUCAUGAAGGAUAUGUUGUGGGUUCCUCAGUCAACGGCCGCACUACUGUGGAAGGACCAGAGGACACACAGAGUCUAGGAAGAUGCAUGGACAAUAACUCUGACACCACCAAGGACAACCCAAACCAGGCGCGUAUACAGAUGUAUCCUGAUGUGGAAGAGGAUGAGGAGACAGACUCAGAUAGCGAAGGCGAAGGAGCUGAUCAAAUUGUCACUAACAACAAUAAGUGGAUAAAUAAGAAUUUAAGACUCAGAGGGCUAUACACUGACCCUGUGGAUAGCUGGCCAGUAAUUCAGCUUGUCAGUCCCAAACUCACCGAGGAACAAGCACCAGAAGAUAGUCACAAUGAGGAGAGAAAGGAGGAAAGCGAAAGCAGCGGAGAUGAACAUGGGGACGCAGAUAAACUAAUUGAAAACUUCAAAGACCAAGAAGAAGGCAUGCUAAUGGGAUUAACUGAAAAAGAAAAAGAGGACACGAAGAUCAAGAACAACGAAGACACCUGGAGUGAUGACGAAGAGUAUGUGGACCUUUAUGAACGAACGCUGGUGUAUAAAAUAUCUGAUGACACCAGGCUUCCUGAUUCCAGUGAGGAUGAUGGAAGACAGCUCAAUGAGAGUUCCUUGGAGAAGGAAAACAUCCCAGACAAUGAAGACCCUCAGGACGCUGAUAAACAAACCUAUGACUCUGACAAAGAUGAUGCCCUCUGGCUCCGAGAACCACCUGAGGGAAACUUCCAGCUGGGCAGCAGCUCCCCUCCUCAUCCAGCUCAGGUCCCAUGUGAAGAACACCACACAUGUGAGGACCUGCCCACGUGCAAACCACCAGAAAAUACACAAGUCACCCAAGUCCCAGAGAUGCCGGCAAUGCUCCCGGAAGAUGAACCUGCUGAGAUGCUGAAGACCAGCACCAAGGAGUCCUCCUCGGUCUCCCUGGGGGAGUCAGAGGACGAUGACACUGGAUCUGACACACAAACCACAACCUGUGUGAACUGGAGGCAGGCCUUCCGCUGGCUCCGGAAAAGAGUCCUCUCGUGUAUGGGGAGGAGAGUGACAGUCAGAAACCCACCAGCAACCCCAACCAAGAAAAGUCUUCCCACUUCCAAGGAAACCCACCCCAAAGAAACCCUCAGUGAUUAAUUAGCACAACCCAAUCCACUAAGCACACUAAGCAGUGUGAUGGCCCCACUUCUAUAGUCCUGUGAUUUUAUUAUUUUAAAUAAAAUAUGCAUUCGUGUUCUCCAUGUCUGCUUCCUCCAGUACAUCUUCUUGG
rnacentral:lncRNA from 1 species